rnacentral:sRNA from 1 species
GCUGGGAAAAACGGUCGGUUACGACUCUACGAACAAAUCCGGCGGCCGUCGAGUAUCUGAUUGGAUUGUAAAAUGCACAACGGAGCAUCCUGAUCAUAUUGGACAAUUUCAGAAGAUGAACGGAAAAGUUCGCACUAUUAGGUACGAAAUUGGAGCAUUUUGGCUUAAAAAUCACGUUUUUUCUGUGGAAAAAUAGUGAAAAACUGCAAAAAAUUGAAAAAAUCCAUAAAAUCCCGUUUUGCAGAUAUUUCUGGAAACAAAACGAGCAACCGGAGCGUUUUGAGAAGCUUUUCGAAGAAUUUCAGCAAUUAACCGCAUGCCAAUGCCCAUUUAAAAUAGGAGAAGUUAUAAAGUUUCCUGAGAAGAAAUUGA